GACGAACGCUGGCGGCGUGCUUAACACAUGCAAGUCGAACGGAAAGGCCCUGCUUUUGUGGGGUGCUCGAGUGGCGAACGGGUGAGUAACACGUGAGUAACCUGCCCUUGACUUUGGGAUAACUUCAGGAAACUGGGGCUAAUACCGGAUAGGAGCUCCUGCUGCAUGGUGGGGGUUGGAAAGUUUCGGCGGUUGGGGAUGGACUCGCGGCUUAUCAGCUUGUUGGUGGGGUAGUGGCUUACCAAGGCUUUGACGGGUAGCCGGCCUGAGAGGGUGACCGGCCACAUUGGGACUGAGAUACGGCCCAGACUCCUACGGGAGGCAGCAGUGGGGAAUAUUGCACAAUGGGCGGAAGCCUGAUGCAGCAACGCCGCGUGCGGGAUGACGGCCUUCGGGUUGUAAACCGCUUUCGCCUGUGACGCAGCGUGAGUGACGGUAAUGGGUAAAGAAGCACCGGCUAAGUACGUG
rnacentral:rRNA from 1 species